UCACAGGUGGGGAUACUGUUUACCUGGCUAACUUUACCCAGCCCAGCUCCCCUUUCCAUAAGGUUUUCAAGCCAGAAGCAGCUUAUCUGCCUGAGUGGGUGGGCAUUGCUGCUGAUCUGGAACAGCCAAACAGAGGAGCCCCUGGCCAUGCCUCAGCAAGAGCCCCCAAGAGUCACCAGAGGACCUUGCUGUAGUGCACAUGCUCAGAGGGGCGGUGGGGGGGAGGGUAUGUUGUUGUCGUGCUCGUGCUCGUGCUCGGGACCUCACAGGGAUUCCCAGUUCUGUUUUGCAUGCUUCUCAGCUGAGUGAUUGCAGGUCAAUGAUGUCACCUCACUGCCUUCCUGAAACUCUGAGCACAGCCUGGACUUAGCUCAGCAGCAACAGCACAGGUACUUUGAGCUCCUCCAUGCCCACACUGUUAGCCAUCAUAGGCCUAACAUUGGCUGCAUCUGGAGUGCUGUGUCACGGAGGCCAGUGUGUAGUUAGGGUUUCUGCGGCUCUGAUAAAACACCAUGGCCAUGGACAA
rnacentral:lncRNA from 1 species